GGCUGCGAAGGCGAUAGGCGUCUCAGACUUGAAGACGCCUCUCCAGCAGAACUCCCUCAUUGGUCGGCAAGAGAAAACAAAGCUGGGCUCUGAUUGGUGACAGCUCUGUAGCUCCUCCUCAUACCCGCAGUCCCCGCAAGUUCCACCCCUGCCCGCCCGGUUCGCUCGCCCUUGGUUCCCACUCCCAGGUGGCUGCAGACUGGAGUGUGUUUCAUGGACGAGCAACCUCCCUGAGGAGAACCCCGGAUACGCAGAGUCACCAGUAAAAUGAGCAUUCAUUCAUUAAGCCAAUCAUCAGGAAUGGAUCUAGGAAGAACCUACUGUUUACUAGAAAUAGGUUAGAUCUGUGGAUAUAACAAUGAAUAAGACAAGACUGGUGGAUCUAUAGAGAAACUAUUACUGCACAGGUGAUGGGGAAAUCAAGAGUACUAUGGGGCCAAGGAGACUGUCCUGCAGCAAAUGAGGAAUAAGCUGAAACAUCAGUAGGAGCCAUCCCAGAGAAAAGGGACAGGGUUCUAGAUCCAGAGAACAACAGAAGAGCAUUCAGCGCCUGCAAGGGAGCAGGGGAUCUAAUGCAAAGCCAUUGCAUAACCAGUCAACUUUCCCCACAUCACAAGAUUGCCUAGCCUGGAUGGCCCCAGAAUGUUGAAACAAAUGUCUAAUUAGUAACGACAUUCUGAAUGCUUGGGAGCUGAGCAAAAUAUGAGGAGAAGCAACCUGAUUUUUGUUUCAUAUUAUCAUCUCCUUUAUUCCAGCAACAAAAGACACUGAAAAUAGUAAAUGCCCACUUUCAACCAUGACAGCCCUUUUAGGAUAGUAACGGUGAGCAGUAUUAAUCCUAUUUGACCAGAACUAGGGCAGAAUUGAAGCCCCUGGAGUAGAGAUCUGUUCUAUUAGCCCCAGCCUUUCCGCCUGCUUCUUGGGAUGGCUAUCUUUACUUUAUCAGUUGAGCCUCCAGCAUUAGCAGAUACCUAUAAGGGAAGAGAUCCAGCCCUCACUAUGGAGGGCCAGAAAGAGAAAGCACCAGACAUUAGGAAAUGUCAAAGUAUCUCAGUACAUCCAGCUGAUUAGUGACAGAUAAGUCAAAAUUUGCAGCAACUAAAUAAAUCAAAAAGUAGAUUUUAAAAUGUGAUCUUUGAAAUAUUUGGCACAAUGCUUCAAAGCCACUGAAAAGCUAUCUCUUCACCCUAAUAGAGGACAGAAAUUCAUUAGAUAGACAGAAGAGGCUGCAUACAGUAGCCCAUGCCCAUAAUCUCAACAACUUUGGAGGCCAAGGUGGAAAGAUUACUUGAGGCCAGGAAAUCAACACCAGCCUGAGCAACAUAGCAAGACAUCUUUACAAAAAAUUUAAAAAUUAGCCAGGUUUGGUGGUGUGCAGCUGUAGUCCUAGCUACUCGGGAGGCUGAGGUGGGAGGAUUGCUUGAGGCCAGGAGUUCUAGGCUGCAGUGAACAGAGAUUUUGCCACUGCGUUCCAGCCUGGGCAACAGAGUAAGACCCUGUCUCUAAAAUAGAUGAUAGAUAGAUAGAGAGAGAGAGAGAGAUGAUAGAUAAUAGAUAGUUGAUAGAUAGAUGAUAGAUAAUAGAUAGUUGAUAGAUAGAUAAUAGAUCGUUGAUUGAUAGAUUAGAUAGAUGUAUAAUAGAACCCAAAGGCAAAAAUAAGUUAGUCCUCAGGAAGACCCAGAUCGCAGACCUGAAAAGCCAGGAGGAACUCAAUGGAAUUUUUUUCCAUAGCAGGUGCUCUCUCUACACCUGUGCUCUAUUCUCCUAUUCUGAUAACCAGCCCCUGGCUCCUAUGUCCCAGUGUCAGAGAAAUGAUGUUCCAGAGCUGCACCCACAAGGACUAAAUCACCUGCCUAACCCUAACCCUAAUCAUAGAUGAUGGGGGCUGCAGGGGACCAGUAUGGCUGCCAGGGCCCAUCCCUGUUUAUGAGCAGAGGUUUCCCAGAGAAGACACACUGGGCAGAUUACCAGACACGCAUUCAUUGCACCCCUGACAUUUUCAAUCGCCAGUCAAUGAGGCUUCCUUUCUAGUUACUGAAAGUCUUCACCUGCUGUUUAUAGUAAACUGGAGACCUAGAGGCCAAGGCCGAAGGCUUGGAUGGUAAUUUCCCACAUUCUCUGGAAAUCUUUCUACUUCAGUUGGCUUCCAGACACCCAGUACCCUUGUGUGUUCCAGUUUCAAGUUGCCAUUCUUGUUCAGGUCUUCUAGUAAUUUCCUGUUUCCCUAUCUGAAGUGUACCUCCUGACAUCAAUGUAUUCAAAGAGCAAAUGCUCCUGCCAAAUCUAUGAGUGUCAGUGAACUAGCCUGCUGCUCUGGGCUCAGAUGAGACCAGCUUGCAGAACAAGCAGGACAGAGGCGUGAAGGGAAGCAGAUGGCAAACCUCGAUCUGCCACCAUCCCUUCCACAGGCAUUCCGUAUGAGGACAUCUGUCCCCACCCCUGGAUGAAAACUUGGGUGAUCCCGAAAUUUUUCUGAUUGCUCACAGAAUUGGUUCCUUCCAGCAGGUUUACGGUCUGGCUGACUUCAAGAAUGGAGAUGGUCCUUAUUAACAGCUCUUAAAGAUGGCACGGACACAAAGAGUGAGCAGCAGCAAGAUUUAUUGUGAAGAGCGAAAGAACAAAGCUUCCACAGCGUGAAAGGGUACCUGAGCUGAUUGUCGCUGCUGGCUGGGAUGGCCAGCCUUUAUUCCCUUUUUUGUCCCCUCGCAUGUUCUGUUUCUGUCCUAUCAGAGUGCCCUUUUUUCAGUCCUCCCCACGAUUGGCUACUUUUAGACUCCUGCUGAUUGGUUGUGUUUUACAGAGCACUGAUUGGUGCAUUUUACAGAGUGCUGAUUGGUGUGUUUUACAGAGCACUGAUUCGUGCAUUUUACAAUCCUCUUGCUAGCUACAGAGCGCUAAUUGGUGCAUUUUACAAUCCUAGCUACAGGGUGCUGAUUGGUGCGUUUUACAAUCCUCCUGUAAGACAAAAGUUCUCCAAGUUGAUCCAGGAAGUCCAGCUGGCUUCACCUCUCAGCAUGAUUAUAAAUUGAGAACACUUCUACCUUGUACCAAAAAAACCAGUCUCAACACUUUUUAGCCAUACUCAUUAAGAACAAAAUACGUGAACACUUUGUAACACGUAUAAUUGGAAUAAGCAUUUUAUAUUCAGAAAGAAGGCCAGUGAUGGAAACGUUGAGAAAAAAAUACAUAGUGAGAUGAGUCAUUCAGAAUUUAGAUUUAAUUAAGCUCAGUCAUCUUUGUACUUACCAUGUUGAUCUCCCAAGGGAGCAUCGCAAGCAAAGUGACUCUUGCACCACUUAUGUUAUCCUAGAAACUAUGCCAGCAUUAAUUAAUUUGUGCUGACCUGGAAAGCAGAAGCUUCCUUAUCUCGCCACUUGAAAACUAAGUAACUCCUUGUUCCACGUUGAAGAUUAGGAAACUUGCAAGGAUGAGCUACAGCAACAUAGAAAACAGCACCCCCACAGCAGGAGGGGCAGUUUGAGGAUGUGCACACAGAGGGGAUGUUUCCAGGACCCAGGCUUCACUUCCAGCAAAGAUGUUACUUUAGAAGAUGGGACUCUUUCACUUAAUUGUGUCUAUUUUCUUAACUCACAGCUUUCUCCUGUCUAGCACCUUUAUCCAAAAAUUCCCUGUCCCUGGUAUAUGAGCAGAAAACAAAGGAACUUAAUAGUUAACUCUCUGAUACAUAUGAGUGCAAAUUCUACAAUUAAAAAAAUAAAGCCAGGCUGGGUCUGAUGGCUUAUGCCUGUAAUCCCAGCACUUUGGGAGGCCGAGGCAGGAAGAUCACUUGAGGUCAGGAGUUGGAGACCAGCCUGAUCAACAUGGUGAAACCCCGUUUCUACAAAUAAUACAAAAAUUAGCUGGGCGUGGUGACACACACCUGUAAUCCCAGCUACUCAGGAAGCUGAGGCAGGAGAAUCUCUUGAACCUGGGAGGCAGAUGUUGCAGUGAGCCUAGAUUACACCACUGCACUCCAGACUGGGCGACAGAGCAAGACUCUGUCUCAGAAAGAUAAAAUAAAAAAAAAGGAAACAAAAAGACAGAGAUAUCCUAAAUAGUGACAAAUUUAAGAAUGUAAGAUAUACAUAAUAUAGCUGAAGAAUUGACUAAAGAGGUUAAUAUCCCCGCAGAGAAGAACGAUUUAUGAAAUUUAUAAUUUAAGGCUCUAAUUAUGCUCUGUAAACAACCAAAUAAUAACUUUUUUUGAGACAGGGUCUGCUCGGUCCCCCAGGUUGGAGUACAGUGGCACAAUCUUGGCUCACCGCAGCCUGAACUUCCUGGGUUCUGUUGAUCUUCCCACCUCAGCCUCCAAAGUAGCUAGGACUGCAGGUGUGUGCCACUAUACCUGGCUAAUUUUUUUUUUUUUAUUUUUUUUAUUUUUUUUUGGUAGAGACAGGGUUUUGCCAUGUUGCCCAGGCUGGUCUUGAACUCCUGGGCUCAAGUAGUCCUCCCGCCUUGGCCUCCCAAAAUGCUGGGAUUACAGGCAUGAGCCACUGUGCCUAGCACGGAAUAACCUUGUAAACUAAGAGCUUCCAUGCUGUUUAGAAUGGCUGGCUCCUGUUAGCAAAUGCUAAAUAUUCUAAUUUCCACACUAUUUGAUUUUUCUUAGGUUCUAUCAAUAUUAUUAUGCAUUACGAUACUUCAUCUUAAGUCAUUAAUAACUGUCAUUCAUUCAACAAACAUUUACUGAGCACCUACUAUGUGCCAGGUAGUGUGGUGGGUUCUGGAUUGGUGGGAAAGAAUACAAACAUGUUUAGGCCAAAAUCCAUAGCCUCUCAGAGUUCACAGAAUUCUGAUUUGUGCAUUUGCAAUCAUUGUCAAAACAGGCAUUUGCCUCAGGCCCUGUCCAUCUCCAGUGUAACAUAAGGAUUAUACAAGCAAAUGAACUGUAGAAUGCAGCAGGAAACAAAAGAAAACAAGGCAGAUAGUUUCUGAAUAGGAUUAAUGGCACCGCCUCCUGGAGUGGGCUUGAUGAAAGAGCUGGUGUUGCAGGAGUUCUAGCUUCCGCGUAUGUUCACUAAAGGCAGAGAAUCUAGAAUGAAGUCCAAACGAUUUUGAGAACAAUCGCAAAGUGUUGAAGAAUCUCCAAAGAAGAAGCAUGUUCAGUAAGAUUGGAACACUGAAUGACAAUUCUACCUUAGACACUAAAGCUAGUGGUGUGAGCUUGGACAUCUCAUUUACUUUUCUGAGGCCAUUUCCUUAUUAAUAAUUUAUGUGCAGUGAUUAAUCCACCCAAGAAGUUACAAACUGAAGUUAUUCAGGGUGAGCACAAAGUUUGUAGAAAUUUUGAUUUGUUGCCAACAUUUCAAAAUCAGGAGAUUUCUUGGAAAAGUUCAACUCACAAGUUUCUAUUUUUAAGAAAAAAGGCCGGACACAGUGGCUCACACCUGUAAUCCCAGCACUUUGGGAAGCCAAGGCAGGAGAAUCUCUUGAGGCUGAGAGUUUAAGGCCACCCUGAGCAACAUAGCAAGACCCAAUAUCUACAAAAAAUAUAAAAAUUAGCCAGGUGUGGUGGUACACACCUGUAGAACCAGCUACCUGGUAGGCUGGGACAGAAAGAUUGCUUGAGCCCAGGAGUUUAAGGCUGCAGCAAGCUGUGAUUGCACAACUGCACUCCAGCCUGGGUGACAGCCUGGAGACCCUGUGAAAGAAAGACAGAAAGAGAGAGAGAGAAAAACAAAGAGAAGGAGGGAAGGAAGGAAGGAAGGAUGGAAGGAAGGAAGGGAGGGAGGGAGGAAGGGAGAAAGGAAGGAAGGGAGGGAGGGAAAAGAAAGAAGGAGGGGGGAGGGAGAGAGGGAGAAAGGAAAAAAGGAAGGAAGGAAAGAGAGGGAAAGAAGGAGGGAGGGAAGGAGGGAGGAAGGAGGGAAGGAAGGAAGAGAGGGAGGGAGGGAAGGUUGACCCACACCUCCGUGUGGCAGUGUUUACCUGAAGCAGAGCGUUGUGCCCCCUUUUCGAGCUGGCAUGUGCUUUGCAGUCUGUGGCGCACCCUGCCCACUGGCCUCACUCAUCCUCCCACUUCCCUCCUGGCCACUGCAGACAUUUGAGUUUGCGUCUCCUGAACUGGAUGGUUUUUAAGGGCUUCUUUUAGUUGUUGAAAGCUACAGGAACUGUUUCAAGGUAAUAUAAAUUAAAAAUAUGUAUGUUGCUGAGAGAAGAGACAAAUCACCCAUGCAGAAGAAUUUUAAAUCAUUUAUGUAAAUACUCCAUCCUCAGAGAGGUGAAGAAUACCUCCCCAUCCCUUAAGUGUGGCUGCCCAUAGUGACCUCCUUCCAAGAGUAUAACACAGAAAGGUGGGGCGGGGAGAGUAACUUUACAGUGGAAAAACCUGACCAGCACUAUCUCAACCAGCUGAUCAAGGUCAACAUCAACAGUGAUGAGAAGUCAUGUUGCCUGUGUGCAUGGCCUUCCUCCCCUAAACCCCUAUCCCCAGUCAUGAGAAAAACAUCAGACAAAUGCCAAUCAAGGGGCAUUUUACAAUAGGCUUGACCAGUACUCCUCAAAAUUGCCAAGGUAAUCAGAAACAAGGAAAGUCUGAGAUGGACAUAGCUGAGAGACUGCCAUAGUUUAAAGAGACAUGACAAGUAAAUGUAAUGUGGUACCCUGGAUGGGAUCCUGAAACAGUAAAAGGAUAUCACAUAAAAACUGAGAAAAUGUGGCCGGACAUGGUGGCUCACGCCUGUAAUCCGAGGACUUUGGGAGGACGAGGCAGGUAGAUCACUUGAGGUCAGACAUUCGAGACCAGCCUGGCCAACGUGGUGAAACCCCAUAUCUACUAAAAUUACAAAAAUUAGCCGGGCAUGGUGGCACGCCUGUAAUCCCAGCUACUCAGGAGGUU
rnacentral:lncRNA from 1 species